ACUAGCAAAGAAUAUGAAACCAAGAUGCAAGUAGAUCCUCAAAGGAAACAUUCACUAUAUCCUAAAAAUUAAAAGUAAACACACAAACAAAUCAAGGCAGAAGGCGUUUUCAGUGUUGAUCUAAUCCUCUCUCCUGUGCAAGCAACUGAUGAAGAUACAACCAGGGAAAGUGAGAGAGCCCCCUGAGCGCGUGGAGAGCCAAUUCACCUAUGGGGACUCUGGCUUUAAUUAAUCUCCCUGCCUUCUUAGGGUGGCUAAAAGAGGAAAAUCCAGGCUGGAAAACAUCUGUUGCACCGCGGAGGCGGCAGCAAUUCAAGCAUAUCUCGGAACCUGGCAGUUUCACAAAGGAGGAGGAGACCCCAAUGCAAAGUACAAAAAUAAGGAAGAGAAAUAGAACCGAGUGUGCACUUCAGCCAAGAGAGCAGGCAUCAGCCAAAAUCAUGCACAAAAUAAAACCAGUUCUGGACUGUUCUAACCGCACAGCUACUAAUAACCACGGCCUUCCUCAGGGAGAGAACAUCAGUCAAAUAUUCCUCAUUGACACUGGUGUAAAUCCAGCUGCCUCUUCCAGUAUAACUGUUUUCUCUUUGCAGUGCCAGAGAGCACAGAUUUGACCUUGGUAAUUUUAUUAAAAAUAUAUAAAUUUUACAGAAAAAAGAAUCUGCUUCUU
rnacentral:lncRNA from 1 species